GCCAGCAGCCAUAUCACCCUGCAGCUCACCACUGGCAGCCCACUGGAGCUCAGCAGGUGUGAGCCUGGUCAGUACCUGGAUAGGAGACCUCCGGGGAACAACUGAGGUUGCUGCUGUAA
rnacentral:rRNA from 1 species